GGGCGUUUAGCUCAGCUGGUUUAGAGCUUCUGCCUUACAAGCAGAGGGUCGGCGGUUCGAAUCCGUCAACGCCCA
rnacentral:tRNA from 1 species